AUUGAACGCUGGCGGCAUGCCUUACACAUGCAAGUCGAACGGCAGCACGGGAGCAAUCCUGGUGGCGAGUGGCGAACGGGUGAGUAAUAUAUCGGAACGUGCCCAGUCGUGGGGGAUAACGCAGCGAAAGCUGUGCUAAUACCGCAUGAGAUCUAUGGAUGAAAGCGGGGGAUCGCAAGACCUCGCGCGAUUGGAGCGGCCGAUAUCAGAUUAGGUAGUUGGUGGGGUAAAGGUUCACCAAGCCGACGAUCUGUAGCUGGUCCGAGAGGACGACCAGCCACACGGGAACUGAGACACGGUCCAGACUCCUACGGGAGGGAGGAGUGGGGAAGUUUGGACAAUGGGCGCAAGCCUGAUCCAGCAAUGCCGCGUGCAGGAUGAAGGCCUUCGGGUUGUAAACUGCUUUUGUACGGAACGAAAAGGCUCUGGUUAAUACCUGGGGCACAUGACGGUACCGUAAGAAUAAGCACCGGCUAACUACGUGCCAGCAGCCGCAGUAAAAC
rnacentral:rRNA from 1 species